CGAGCGGUAGCACAGGGGAGCUUGCUCCCCGGGUGACGAGCGGCGGACGGGUGAGUAAUGUCUGGGAAACUGCCUGAUGGAGGGGGAUAACUACUGGAAACGGUAGCUAAUACCGCAUAACGUCGCAAGACCAAAGAGGGGGACCUUCGGGCCUCUUGCCAUCAGAUGUGCCCAGAUGGGAUUAGCUAGUAGGUGGGGUAAUGGCUCACCUAGGCGACGAUCCCUAGCUGGUCUGAGAGGAUGACCAGCCACACUGGAACUGAGACACGGUCCAGACUCCUACGGGAGGCAGCAGUGGGGAAUAUUGCACAAUGGGCGCAAGCCUGAUGCAGCCAUGCCGCGUGUGUGAAGAAGGCCUUCGGGUUGUAAAGCACUUUCAGCGAGGAGGAAGGUGGUGAGCUUAAUACGCUCAUCAAUUGACGUUACUCGCAGAAGAAGCACCGGCUAACUCCGUGCCAGCAGCCGCGGUAAUACGGAGGGUGCAAGCGUUAAUCGGAAUUACUGGGCGUAAAGCGCACGCAGGCGGUUUGUUAAGUCAGAUGUGAAAUCCCCGGGCUC
rnacentral:rRNA from 1 species